rnacentral:tRNA from 1 species
GGCUUUAUUUUAAUUGUUUUGAAAACAAUUUUUAAGAAAUUUUCUUUAAAGUCU